rnacentral:rRNA from 1 species
AGGAUUAACGCUGGCGGCGUGCCUAACACAUGCAAGUCGAACGAGGUAGCAAUACCUAGUGGCAGACGGGUGAGUAACGCGUGGUCAACCUACCGUUGAGUGGGGGAUAACUAGCCGAAAGGUUAGCUAAUACCGCAUACGUCUCUGAGGGGCAUCCCUCGGCGAUAAAAGGAGCAAUCCGCUCGAUGACGGGACCGCGUCCCAUUAGCUAGAUGGUGGGGUAACGGCCUACCAUGGCACCGAUGGGUAGCUGGUUUGAGAGAGCGACCAGCCACACUGGGACUGAGAAACGGCCCAGACUCCUACGGGAGGCAGCAGUGAGGAAUUUUCCGCAAUGGGCGCAAGCCUGACGGAGCGACGCCGCGUGUGGGAAGAAGGCCUUCGGGUCGUAAACCACUGUCGAAGGGGACGAUAAUGACGGUACCCUUGGAGGAGCCCGGCUAACGUACGCGCCAGCAGCCGC